rnacentral:rRNA from 1 species
UUGCAUAUCAAAAAGCGGAGGAAAAGAAACCAACAGGGAUUGCCUCAGUAGCGGCGAGUGAAGCGGCAAGAGCUCAGAUUUGAAAUCGUGCUUUGCGGCACGAGUUGUAGAUUGCAGGUUGGAGUCUGUGUGGAAGGCGGUGUCCAAGUCCCUUGGAACAGGGCGCCCAGGAGGGUGAGAGCCCCGUGGGAUGCCGGCGGAAGCAGUGAGGCCCUUCUGACGAGUCGAGUUGUUUGGGAAUGCAGCUCCAAGCGGGUGGUAAAUUCCAUCUAAGGCUAAAUACUGGCGAGAGACCGAUAGCGAACAAGUACUGUGAAGGAAAGAUGAAAAGCACUUUGAAAAGAGAGUGAAACAGCACGUGAAAUUGUUGAAAGGGAAGGGUAUUGCGCCCGACAUGGGGAUUGCGCACCGCUGCCUCUCGUGGGCGGCGCUCUGGGCUUUCCCUGGGCCAGCAUCGGUUCUUGCUGCAGGAGAAGGGGUUCUGGAACGUGGCUCUUCGGAGUGUUAUAGCCAGGGCCAGAUGCUGCGUGCGGGGACCGAGGACUGCGGCCGUGUAGUCACGGACGGCAUGCCUUACCGCACGGG